rnacentral:rRNA from 1 species
GAUGAACGCUAGCUACAGGCUUAACACAUGCAAGUCGAGGGACCGGCGCACGGGUGAGUAACACGUAUCCAACCUGCCCUUUACUCGGGGAUAGCCUUUCGAAAGAAAGAUUAAUACCCGAUAUAAAGGAUGGGGAUGCGUUCCCUUAGGUUGUUGGUGAGGUAACGGCCCACCAAGCCUUCGAUGGAUAGGGGUUCGGAGAGGAAGGUCCCCUGCAUUUGAGCCACGGCACGGUCCAAACUCCUACGGAGCGCAGCAGUUAGGUGUAUUGGUCAAUGAGCGGUAACCUAGACCAGCCGAGUAGCGUGAAGAAUGAAGGCUUAUGAGUCGUAAACUUCUUUUGUAUAAGAAUAUGUAUUAUAUGAAUAAGGAUCGGCUAACUCCGUGCCAGCAGCCGCGGUAAUAC